AUUGAACGCUGGCGGCAUGCUUUACACAUGCAAGUCGAACGGUAACAGGCCGCAAGGUGCUGACGAGUGGCGAACGGGUGAGUAAUGCAUCGGAACGUGCCCAGUCGUGGGGGAUAACUACUCGAAAGAGUAGCUAAUACCGCAUACGAUCUAUGGAUGAAAGCGGGGGACCGUAAGGCCUCGCGCGGUUGGAGCGGCCGAUGUCAGAUUAGGUAGUUGGUGGGGUAAAGGCUCACCAAGCCAACGAUCUGUAGCGGGUCUGAGAGGACGACCAGCCACACUGGGACUGAGACACGGCCCAGACUCCUACGGGAGGCAGCAGUGGGGAAUUUUGGACAAUGGGCGCAAGCCUGAUCCAGCAAUGCCGCGUGCAGGAAGAAGGCCUUCGGGUUGUAAACUGCUUUUGUACGGAACGAAACGGCUCUGGUUAAUACCCGGGGCUAAUGACGGUACCGUAAGAAUAAGCACCGGCUAACUACGUG
rnacentral:rRNA from 1 species